rnacentral:tRNA from 1 species
GCUUUCGAGGUGUAGUGGUCAGCACGCUCGACCCGUAACCGAGAGGUCCGUGGUUCGAUUCCCGGCAAAGGCG